rnacentral:rRNA from 1 species
AGGACGAACGCUGGCGGCGUGCUUAACACAUGCAAGUGGAGCGACGAACCAGGGCUUGCCCUGGGGCAGAGCCGCGAACGGGUGAGUAACACGUGGGUUACCUGCCUUGAUGACCGGGACAACCCGAGGAAACUCGGGCUAAUACCGGAUGUGCCCGCAAGGGGAAAGGAAGCUUCGGCCUCCGCAUCAAGAUGGGCCCGCGGCCCAUUAGCUAGUUGGUGAGGUAACGGCUCACCAAGGCUUCGAUGGGUAGCUGGUCUGAGAGGACGAUCAGCCACACUGGGACUGAGACACGGCCCAGACUCCUACGGGAGGCAGCAGUGGGGAAUCUUGCGCAAUGCGCGAAAGCGUGACGCAGCAACGCCGCGUGGGGGAAGAAGGCUUUCGGGUUGUAAACCCUUUCAGUUGGGACGAAGCUCCGUCGGUUAAUAGGCCGGCUGGAGUGACGGUACCUUCACAAGAAGCACCGGCUAACUACGCGCCAGCAGCCGCGGU